rnacentral:rRNA from 1 species
CCUACGGGAGGCAGCAGUGAGGAAUAUUGGUAAAUGGACGAGAGUCUGAACAAGCCAAGUAGCGUGAAGGAUGACUGCCCUAUGGGUUGUAAACUUCUUUUAUCUGGGGAUAAAAUGUUCCACGUGUGGGAUUUUGUAGGUACCAUAUGAAUAAGGAUCGGCUAACUCCGUGCCAGCAGCCGCGGUAAUACGGAGGAUCCGAGCGUUAUCCGGAUUUAUUGGGUUUAAAGGGAGCGUAGGUGGAUUGUAAAGGCCGUUGUGAAAGUUUGCGGCUCAACCGUAAAAUUGCAGUUGAAACUGGCAGUCUUGAGUACAGUAGAGGUGGGCGGAAUUCGUGGUGUAGCGGUGAAAUGCUUAGAUAUCACGAAGAACUCCGAUUGCGAAGGCAGUUCACUGGACUGCAACUGACACUGAGGCUCGAAAGUGUGGGUAUCAAACAGGAUUAGAUACCCCGGUAGUC